UCAUGCCAUGUGACGAGAUGAGCCUCCAUCAAAACAGCUGUCAAGAUCAAUACAUUUCUAAUUGCCAGUACAGCCUGCUUAAUGGAGAACCGGGAAAGAAGACUGAAAGAAUGCACGAGAAUAAUAUAUGAGCACCUGACCUCUGUGAUUGGAAAAAUACCAUGGAUAAAUUGACGAACAGCCCGGACUCGGACCCUCCACCUCGCUGCAGCAGUUAACGUCGGCCUCCGUGAAGUGCAGCGAAACCACAUCAGCCCAAGACAACUUUUACAAGCCCUGUGCUGUCCGUCCUGCCCUCCAUCACACCGCCCCUUUUCUCC
ensembl:lncRNA